rnacentral:lncRNA from 1 species
AAAGUUUAAAGAAUAUAAGGAGUCUUAUAAGAUUUGAACUUAGGAGUAAGAAUUUAAUUAAGUACUGUCGGCACGGAUCGUAUCCACCGUAUUGUAUCGUGACAACAAGAUAUCGGUAUAUAUAAUACAGUUUCCGUGUUGAUAACACAACAUAAAAAUCUCUAUUAUUUAAAUAAGUAAGUAAUUUUUUUAAUAAAGUUCAAAGAUUUGAUUAAGAUACAUAAUAAACAAUUAAAAUAUUUUGUUGUUAAAGAAAAUAAAUAUUUCAUGCCAUUAUGCGCCAGCGCACAUAAUUUUUUUGUGACCGACACGCUUCGAUACACACCGUACUG